rfam:Fukomys damarensis contig149201, whole genome shotgun sequence.
GCCCCUGUAGUCCCAGGUACUUGGGAGGCUGAGGUGGGAGGAUCGCUUGAAUCCAGAGUUCUGGGUUACAGUCUGCUAUCGGGUGGCUGCACUAAGUUUGGCAUCAAUAUGGUGACCUCCUGGGAGCCGGGGACCACCAGGUUGCCUAAGGAGGGGUGAACUGGCCCAGGUCGGAAAUGGGGCAGGUCAAGAACAUGUGGUUUUUCUGUAAAACUACUCAGCCAUAUAAAUCAGGAACUAGAGACAUUUAUAGCUAAAUUAACAGUGAGGCUGUACUUUUA